ACUUAGCACCUGUUUAUCCAGAAUUACUUCAUGCUUGGGAGCAGGAUAUCCUUCAGACGCCUUCAAAGCACGCAAGCAUCAACAUGUGGUCGAGCUUCCGUCUGAUUAUAGGGAUCCUUUUGACUGUUGUCAUCAUGGCGGCUUUAUCUCCAGCUGCUGGCAACGAAGUCGACAGCCAGGCCUAUUGCCCAUGUCCACAAGUGAUUAGCUGCUGUAACCUGAAGUAAGUGUAGUGGCCUGCAGGAGGACCGGAUCGCUGGGGAGCUGGUUUCUUGUUUUCUGUGUAACAAGUGGUGAAUAAAUGCUUAGUGUGAAGA